UGUGGGACCACCUGUGGCGAAGGCGUUUACCAGGACGGGUUCGACGGUGAGNGACGAAAGCUCGGGGCACAACCGGAUUAGAUACCCGGGUAUGUCCCAGCCGUAAACGAUGCUCGCUAGGUGUCAGGCAUGGCGCGACCGUGUCUGGUGCCGAAGGGAAGCCGUGAAGCGAGCCANCUGGAAGUACGGCCGCAUGGUUGAAACUUAACGUGAAUUGGCGGGGGAGCACAACAACGGGUGGAGCCUGCGGGUUAAUUGGACUCAACGCCCGNACAACUCACGGGGGCGACAGCAAUAUGUAGGCCAAGCUGAAGACUUUGCCUUGAAUCGCUGAGAGGAGGUGCAUGGCCGUCGCCAGUUCGUACUUGUAAGCAUCCUGUUAAGUCAGGCAANGAGCGAGACCCGUGCCCACUUGUUACCAGCAUGUCCUCCGGGACGAUGGGUUCUCUGUGGGGACCGCCG
rnacentral:rRNA from 1 species